rnacentral:tRNA from 3 species
UGCCGGAUGGUGUAACGGUAGCACAGCAGACUCUGGAUCUGUUUGUCUAGGUUCGAAUCCUAGUCCGGCAGCCA